UCUCUCUCUCUCUCUCUCUCUGUACUCUCAGUUCUUCUUCUCCGCUGUAAACUCAUCAUUGAUUUUAUUUUUAUCUCCGAUCUGGGGUGAUCUGGUGCAGGGUAAGAGGAAUGGCGAUGGUUCCAGGCAACUGAUGUGGGAGAUAGUGAAGAAGAACAACUCUUUUCUGGUGAAGGAGUUCGGCAGAAGCCACGCCGGCGUUAGGUUCAGCAAGGAGCCCAGCAACCUCUUGAAUCUCCACUCCUACAAGCAAUCUGGGUUGGCAAACAAAAAAACUGUGAUAAUUCAGUCCAGUAAGGACCAAUCUGUGUUGCUGGCGACGACUACGACCAGGAAGCAUCUGAUAGUGAAUUGCAUGAUUGCAUAUGAUAGUUUCCAACUUUACAAAGUGAAUUGUAACCAGAGAAUGCAGGGCAUAGGAAAUAGAGUACGUAAGACUUGAAUGAUUUCAAGUUGUAUGCUUGGUAACGUUGCAAGUAUUGAGAUUAAACUUAUAGGAUAAGAGGAAGCAUUGCCUCUCAUUUUAUGGCUUGUGAUAUGUACUUAUUCAAUGACUAGUUAUUUAAUGUGAAAGGAAAGGUCAGCGGGUUUUGAUAGGUAUGUGAAAUGUGAAAGGAAAAUUCAAAGUCGUUCUGUUUAUAGUGGUUCUGGAUUA